rnacentral:rRNA from 1 species
AUAGGAGGCCUUACCUGCCCAGUGACUAUAAGUUAAACGGCCGCGGUAUUUUGACCGUGCGAAGGUAGCGCAAUCACUUGUCUUUUAAAUGAAGACCCGUAUGAAUGGUGAAACGAGGGCUUAACUGUCUCCCCCUUCAAGUCAAUGAAAUUGAUCUACCCGUGCAGAAGCGGGUAUAAAAGUACAAGACGAGAAGACCCUUUGGAGCUUAAGAUAUAAGAUCAACUAUGUCAAGACACUUAAAUAACCCUAAACUAAAUAGAAACUGAUCCACAUCUUCGGUUGGGGCGACCACGGGAGAAAAUAAAGCUCCCACGAGGACUGGAAAAUUACCUAAAACUAAGAGAGACAUCUCCAAGUCACAGAAUAUCUGACCAAACAGAUCCGGCCACAAGCCGAUCAACGAACCAAGUUACCCUAGGGAUAACAGCGCAAUCCCCUUUAAGAGUUCAUAUCGACAAGAGGGUUUACGACCUCGAUGUUGGAUCAGGACAUCCUAAUGGUGCAGCCGCUAUUAAG